rnacentral:rRNA from 1 species
UACGUAGGGGGCAAGCGUUGUCCGGAAUCAUUGGGCGUAAAGAGCGUGUAGGCGGUCCGAUAAGUCCGCUCUGAAAGUCCGGGGCUCAACCCCGGGAGGCGGGCGGAUACUGUCGGGCUAGAGUCCGGAAGAGGCAAGUGGAAUUCCUGGUGUAGCGGUGAAAUGCGCAGAUAUCAGGAGGAACACCGAUGGCGAAGGCAGCUUGCUGGGACGGUUCUGACGCUGAGACGCGAAAGCGUGGGGAGCAAACAGG